rnacentral:lncRNA from 1 species
AGACCGAGGCCCCGUUGCGCGCGGCCGCCUUCGGAGCGCCGCCCUCCUCCCGAAACCGGCCGGGGCGAGUGGCUGCAAGAAGCUGCGGUUUGGCCCGCGGGAGAGGGGGGCUUCCCCGCUGGGGUUGUCUGACGCGAACGCCUUCCUGGCCCCAGCCAGGCGCCCUGAGAGAGCUAAUGCUGGCAGCUGUUGGGAUGUCCUCUUCCAGGAAUGGUGAUGAGUUUCCCUGGAUCCAGCCCUGGCUUGGCUGAGAUGAUGAAGGUUUAAGAAGCAGCAUCAUCAGCGAACUGUGUUUUGAAGAUUUGAGGGAAGGGCUGACCUCAGGAUUUUAUACUAGGUAUUUGAUGCAAUGCAGACUGGAAUCCUCCCCACAAGGAUGCCCUGGCCUGAGUGGCACAGAGAUCAAUGCAGCAGUCAUUUCCUGGGCGGGGAAAGCCCAUCCACAGUGGCCCUGGAAUGAUGCUGGUCUUACCUUCUAUUCCUAGGAAGGCCCUAUCUCAAGUGGCUCUGGUCCAUGCAAACAGAUGGAAACGGGUGUGGGGAAGCACAGGCCUCCUACUCAUGUUAAGAGAGCUGCUCAGAGGCAGGAAUCCAGAACCAGGAAUGUCCCCAGUGGCUGCCCAAGGUACAAGUGGCAGGCAGCGGGGAGAAUGGCAUGUGAAGUCAUUUGUAACCUGGCCCCAGCUUGGUUUCCAAGUCUCAGAGGAGAUUAUGGAUAUGGUAGUGCCUGGCUCAGUGCUUAAAAUCCAUUCUCCUGCUAUUUCCCUCACCUACACUCAGCCCCACAAGCCGAGAUGUUUGCUGGACAUUUCAGGCACUGCCACCCAGUUCUGUCUACCUUACCUGCUAACACCUGUUGACCAUCCUUCAUGUGAAGGCUUCCCCAAAUACUUCCCAAUCAAAACACUAAAAGGCAGACCUGAAAUUAAUAAAAAUGUUAAUUAAAUCUGUACAACAGAAAGCAUAAUGCCAGUCUUUUUAAUUAUGAAAUGUAGCAUUCAUAUAAAUUUCAUUGCUUUUGAAAACAAUCUAUGGCUAGAUUCUCCUGGGUUUGUAUGAUGAUUACUGAAAACUGUAGAAAAUCUAAAAUCAAGCAAGUUGUUUAUAGGCAAUUACUUUCAGAAGCAAAAAUUAUAAAAGAACCAUGAGAUUUUUAAAGAGAAAAAAUUACAUUUGAUAUGAGAUAAUCAUGCAUUUUAAGAUGUUUAAAAUGACAUGGAGUGGGGUCCCCAGACCAGGAGAGCUGAGGGCUUAUGAAGGACCUAAGGGAGUGAGACCUGUUAUGUAAUAAGCCCCCAUUCUGGGGGCAGCACCACAGAGGCGGGACCCCAGAAGUAGAAGAAGAGCCCUCCUGCACUGGGUGGUGAAGUUGGUAUCAGCCCCUAGUUUGUGACCCUGGACAGAUUUCUCUGCUCUCCAGCCCUCAGAGUCCUCAAUAAAACAAAAACAUAUGCAAA